rnacentral:lncRNA from 1 species
CAUGGAUGGAUGAGUCCUUGGGUGGUCAGAUGGGUCCUUAGAUGGUUGGUUGGGUCCUUCAACCCUUGAAACCAUGGAUGGAGAAGUCCAGAGAUGGGUCCUUAGAUGGUUGGUUGGGUUCUUAGAUGGUCGGUUAGGUCCUUCAACCCUUGAAACCAUGGAUGGAUGAGCCCAGAGAUGGUUCUUAGAUGGUUCUUGGGUCCUUCAACCCAUGAAACCACGGAUGGAUGAAUCCAUGGGUGGCCCGAUGGGCCUGGAGAUGGGUCCCCAGCUGGUGGGGUGGACUCCGGGGUCUUCUCCAAACCCCUCCCCACCCCGCAGAGCGCCUUCGACGUGCUGGGCUUCACGGCAGAGGAGAAGGCCGGGGUCUACAAGCUGACGGGCGCCAUCAUGCACCUGGGCAACAUGAAGUUCAAGCAGAAGCAGCGCGAGGAACAGGCCGAGCCCGACGGCACCGAAGACGCCGACAAGUCGGCCUACCUGCUGGGCCUCAACUCGGCCGACCUCCUGAAGGGCCUGUGCCACCCGCGGGUGAAGGUGGGCAACGAGUACGUGACCAAGGGCCAGAACGUCCAGCAGGUGGUCUACUCCAUCGGGGCCUUGGCCAAGGCGGUCUACGAGAAGAUGUUCAACUGGAUGGUCACCAGGAUCAACAACUCCUUGGAGACCAAGCAGCCCCGCCAGUACUUCAUCGGCGUCCUGGACAUCGCCGGCUUCGAGAUCUUCGAUGUGAGGGGCUUUGGGGUUGGGUGGGAGGAGGUGGGGGGUGGGGUGGUCGUGGGGGGUGUCCACCGCGGGGGGGUGGGGUGGACCCGUGGUUGGUCCCGUUAGGGGGUGGGUGGGGUGGGUGGAGGUGGGUGGGGGUUUUGAGCUCCUUGGGUCUCCAGUUGACCUCGUUGGGUCUCCAGUUGACCCCUUUGGGUCUCCAGUUGACCCCAUUGACCCUCUUAGGUCUCCAGUUGACCUCGUUGGGUCUCCAGUUGACCUCAUUGGGUCUCCAGUUGACCCCAUUAGGUCUCCAGUUGACCCCAUUGACCCUCUUAGACCUCCAGUUGACCCCAUUAGGUCUCCAGUUGACCCUGUUGGGUCUCCAGUUGACCCCAUUGACCUUGUUGGGUCUCCAGUUGACCCCAUUGGGUCUCCAGUUGACCCCAUUGACCCUCUUAGGUCUCCAGUUGACCCCGUUGGGUCUCCAGUAGACCCAGUUGACCUCGUUGGGUCUCCAGUUGACCUCGUCGGGUCUCCAGUUGACCCAGUUGACCCCAUUGGGUCUCCAGUUGACCUCAUUGGGCCUCCAGUUGACCCCAUUGACCUCGUUGGGUCUCCAGUUGACCUCAUUGGGUCUCCAGUUGACCCCAUUGACACUUUUAGGUCUCCAGUUGACCCCAUUAGGCCUUCAGUUGACCCCAUUGACCCUCUUAGGUCUCCAGUUGACCCCAUUGGGCCUCCAGUUGACCCCAUUGGGUCUCCAGUUGACCCCAUUGACCCCAUUAGGUCUCCAGUUGACCCCAUUAGGUCUCCAGUUGACCCCAUUGGGUCUCCAGUUGACCCAGUUGACCCCGUUGGGUCUCCAGUUGACCUCAUUAGGUCUCCAGUUGACCCCUUUUGGUCUCCAGUAGACCUUUUUGACCCCAUUGGGUCUCCAGUUGACCCCAUUGGGUCUCCAGUUGACCCCAUUGACCCUGUUGGGUCUCCAGUUGACCCCAUUGGGUCUC